rnacentral:rRNA from 1 species
GACGAACGCUGGCGGCGUGCCUAACACAUGCAAGUCGAACGGAAAACACAGCGAUAUGUUUUUAGUGGCGAACGGGUGAGUAACGCGUAGACAACCAACCUUUUUGUGGGGGACAACACUUCGAAAGGAGUGCUAAUACCGCAUGCGCUUUUGGUGCAGCCUGGUGCCGGGAGGAAAGGAGCUGUAAGGCUUCGCAGAAAGACGGGUCUGCGUCUGAUUAGCUAGUUGGAGGGGUAACGGCCCACCAAGGCAACGAUCAGUAGCCGGUCUGAGAGGAUGGACGGCCACACUGGGACUGAGACACGGCCCAGACUCCUACGGGAGGCAGCAGUGGGGAAUCUUCCGCAAUGGACGAAAGUCUGACGGAGCGACGCCGCGUGAGUGAUGAAGGCCCUUGGGUCGUAAAGCUCUGUCAUCAGGGACGAACGGUCACGUCAGGAAAUGGGCGUGAAUUGACGGUACCUGAGAAGGAAGCCACGGCUAACUACGUGCCAGCCGCCGCCGUAAAAC